rnacentral:lncRNA from 1 species
GAGGAUUUCGUUGGAAACGGGAAUACAUACAAAAAGCAGACAGCAGCGUUGUGAGAAACGUCUUUAUGAUGUUUGCAUUCAAGUCACAGAGUUGAACGUUCCGUAUCAUAGAGCAGGUUGGAAACACGCCUUUUGUCAUAUCUGGAAGUGUCCAUUUGGAGUGCAUUCAGGCUUGUGUUGAAAAAGGAAAUACCUUCCCAUAGAAACAAGACAGAAGCAUUCUCAGAAACUUAUUUGUGAUGUGUGUACUCAACUAACAGAAUUCAACAAUCGUUUUGAAGGAGCAGUUUUGAAACACUCUUUUUGUGGAAUCUGCAAGUGCAUAUUUAGCUAGAUUUGAGGAUUUCGUUGGAAACGGGAUUACAUAUAAAAAGCAGACAGCAGCAUUCUCAGAAACUCCUUUGUGA